GACGAACGCUGGCGGCGUGCUUAACACAUGCAAGUCGAACGGUAAGGCCCUUCGGGGUACACGAGUGGCGAACGGGUGAGUAACACGUGGGUGAUCUGCCCUGCACUUCGGGAUAAGCCGGGGAAACUGGGUCGAAUACCGGAUAGGACCACUGCCUGCAUGGGUGGGGGGGGAAAGCUUUUGCGGUGUGGGAUGGGCCCGCGGCCGAUCAGCUUGUUGGUGGGGUGAUGGCCUACCAAGGCGACGACGGGUAGCCGGCCUGAGAGGGUGACCGGCCACACUGGGACUGAGAUACGGCCCAGACUCCUACGGGAGGCAGCAGUGGGGAAUAUUGCACAAUGGGCGCAAGCCUGAUGCAGCGACGCCGCGUGAGGGAUGACGGCCUUCGGGUUGUAAACCUCUUUCAGCACCGACGAAGCGCAAGUGACGGUAGGUGCAGAAGAAGGACCGGCCAACUACGUGCCAGCCGCCGCGGUAA
rnacentral:rRNA from 1 species